AACGAACGCUGGCGGCAGGCUUAACACAUGCAAGUCGAACGCCCCGCAAGGGGAGUGGCAGACGGGUGAGUAACACGUGGGAACAUGCCCAAAGGUACGGAAUAUUCUCGGGAAACUGGGAGCAAUACCGUAUGUGCCCGAAAGGGGAAAGAUUUAUCGCCUUUGGAUUGGCCCGCGUCAGAUUAGGUAGUUGGUGGGGUAAUGGCCUACCAAGCCGACGAUCUGUAGCUGGUCUGAGAGGACGACCGGCCACACUGGGACUGAGACGCGGCCCCGACGCCUACGGGAGGCAGCAGGGGGGAAUCUUGGACAAUGGGCGCAAGCCUGAUCCAGCCAUGCCGCGUGGAUGAUGAAGGCCCUAGGGUUGUAAAAUCCGUUCGUUGGGGACGAUAAUGACGGUACCCAAAGAAGAAGCUCCGGCUAACUUCGUGCCAGCAGCCGCAGUAAAAC
rnacentral:rRNA from 1 species